UCAGUCGCCAUUUUGGCAGCUGUUCUGAGAAUUGUUUCUCGGUCUGCUGCCGUGCCGUGAUCGAGGAUUAUGAGGCCUGCGAGGUGGCCGGCGACCAACAGGCGGCCACCGAGGGCCGUGGCAGGCCACGGACGGCGUGCGGGACAAGUCGAAGGGCUUGGAGGCGGUUUGGGACUCGCUCAGCCAGAUUCUGAUUGCCAGGGUGCGAGGCCGACAUUUUUUGCCAAGUGCAUUACAUACCCAUGCCCGCCCGCCAGCCGCACGAGAGGCUCAAUUUUGGCGACAGAUUUUUACUGCCUGGCCAUUCCUUCGAGUGGCUUCGGCAACAAGGUGCUGAACGUUGAGGGGACGGACGUUGCGUAGCUCGAGUCCGCCGUUGAGGAUUACGUGUUUACGAGCGAUUGUCCAGCGCCAACGUCGUCCGUGUCUUCGACUUAGUCUGCCAAUUGCUCGGGAGCACUGGGCUGCAUCCUCGGCGCUUGCGGCCGUGACCCUGGCCUUUUUUGCAGUGCUGCCGUCCAAUUCUCAUCCGCUGGGGCGAUUGUUGGCAACCCCUUCAGCAGCGGGAACGACGGGAACGUGCAUCCUUCGCGCGUUCUCGUCCUCAAUAGCCUUCGGCAGCACGUGCAACGCGUCAACGACAGGCCGCCUCUCAACUUGUCCAGCGCCCUGUAGAAGCCUGAGCCGCCCAGCAUCCAGGUUACGCCCCGCCACCAGGGUUCCUUCCAGAAAGUCCGUCUCUGUCCAAGAAUGUCAAGCAGUUUGCAAACAAGGCUCUAAACUGUGGUGACGUGGAGAGCAAGUUGGCCGUUCCCGAACCGACUCUAAGCAUGGCUAAAAAGCUGGCCAAGCCUGCGGUCGCCGAGAGGAACUCGUUUGGACACUCCUCGCUGGCUGAGCUGCGUGAGCUCACUCUAUAGUCAGACCAGCGUUGGCGUUGGCUCCUUGAGCGCGUCUCCUUGUCCUCGCUCGAGAAGCAGACCGCCGAGCUGACCAAUGCCAAGUCAGCCGCUUUCACGAGUCACCGUCAGACUCGCAGGUGUCCGUUCACCCUGCAGCGUCUGUCCGAGCUGCUGACGACGCCGAGGCAGCAGUACAACCGCAUCGACAAGUUCUGGUUGUCAGCGGCAACGAUCCUCCGCAGGUCACGGCCAACGGUCUGUCCGAGGACAACGGCCUCAAGGCCCCCGAGCCCAAGAAGCCGCGCUUUGAGGAAGUCGAGGAGAAGCUGGACACGGAGACUGCCGUCAAGGAGCAAACUGGUGACCACGUCGAAGACAAGAAAGACGAGAAGAACCUGCCAAAGAACCUGAACGAGGAAGCCUCCAAGCCAGAGGCUGAACCUGUGGAACCUCAGGUUGAAACCAAGACUGCCGAAGCUCCGAAGGAAGCUGCGGAAGAACCUGAAAUCGCAAAGGAGCCUGAAACGCCGCCAGCUGAACCUGUGGAGGCCGGAAGCUGAGAAGCAAGAAGAGCCUGAGGCUGUGUCUGAAGACCAAAAGAGAUGCCUUUGGUGGAAAAAGAGGCGCCGCGUUGGCCUCUCCCGAGAAGGAUUUGAGUUACGAAAAGGUUUUGGAAGCACUCAAAACUGAGGACGUGCCAAUGCCAAUGGAGGAGCAGAGCCGAGUUGCAUUUACUCGCGUGGACAAUUCUCUGAUCCUUAAUUUAUUUUCUGAUGCCGCUCUCAACUGAGCCUCUGUUAACUCUCACAAACCGUCGAAUUUAGCAGAAGAAUGACACGUAACACGUGUUGUGAUGAACAACGGUGGUGGGAAAUGCAACCCCGUAAUAUUAGUUUCUUAGUGCUUACGCGCCACGCUGCGAAAUAUUUAUUUUUAUCUCACCUGUAUUCUAUUAAAGAGAAAGCUG